AUUGAACGCUGGCGGAAUGCUUUACGCAUGCAAGUCGAACGGCAGCACGGACUUCGGUCUGGUGGCGAGUGGCGAACGGGUGAGUAAUGUACCGGAACGUGCCCAGUCGUGGGGGAUAACGUAGUGAAAAUUACGCUAAUACCGCAUACGAUCUAUGGAUGAAAGCGGGGGAUCGCAAGACCUCGCGCGAUUGGAGCGGCCGAUAUCAGAGUAGGUAGUUGGUGGGGGAAAGGCCCACCAAGCCAACGAUCUGUAGCUGGUUUGAGAGGACGACCAGCCACACUGGAACUGAGACACGGUCCAGACUCCUACGGGAGGCAGCAGUGGGGAAUUUUGGACAAUGGGCGAAAGCCUGAUCCAGCCAUUCCGCGUGCAGGAUGAAGGCCCUCGGGUUGUAAACUGCUUUUGUACAGAACGAAAAGGUUUCUACUAAUACUAGGAGCUCAUGACGGUACUGUAAGAAUAAGCACCGGCUAACUACGUGCCAGCCGCCGCGGUAA
rnacentral:rRNA from 1 species